UACGUAGGCAGCAAGCGUUGUUCGGAGUUACUGGGCGUAAAGGGUGUGUAGGCGGUUGUUUAAGUUUGGUGUGAAAUCUCCCGGCUCAACCGGGAGGGCGCGCCGAAUACUAAGCGACUCGAGUGCGGGAGAGGAGAGUGGAAUUCCUGGUGUAGCGGUGAAAUGCGUAGAUAUCAGGAGGAACACCGGUGGUGCAGACGGCUCUCUGGACCGCGACUGACGCUGAGACACGAAAGCGUGGGUAG
rnacentral:rRNA from 1 species